UACGUAGGGUGCAAGCGUUGUCCGGAAUUAUUGGGCGUAAAGAGCUCGUAGGCGGUUUGUCGCGUCUGCUGUGAAAACCUAAGGCUCAACCUUGGGCUUGCAGUGGGUACGGGCAGACUAGAGUGCGGUAGGGGUGACUGGAAUUCCUGGUGUAGCGGUGGAAUGCGCAGAUAUCAGGAGGAACACCGGUGGCGAAGGCGGGUCUCUGGGCCGAUACUGACGCUGAGGAGCGAAAGCGUGGGGAGCGAACAGG
rnacentral:rRNA from 1 species